rnacentral:rRNA from 1 species
ACAUGCAGUCGAGCGGUAGAGAGGUGCUUGCACCUCUUGAGAGCGGCGGACGGGUGAGUAAUGCCUAGGAAUCUGCCUGGUAGUGGGGGAUAACGCUCGGAAACGGACGCUAAUACCGCAUACGUCCUACGGGAGAAAGCAGGGGACCUUCGGGCCUUGCGCUAUCAGAUGAGCCUAGGUCGGAUUAGCUAGUUGGUGAGGUAAUGGCUCACCAAGGCGACGAUCCGUAACUGGUCUGAGAGGAUGAUCAGUCACACUGGAACUGAGACACGGUCCAGACUCCUACGGGAGGCAGCAGUGGGGAAUAUUGGACAAUGGGCGAAAGCCUGAUCCAGCCAUGCCGCGUGUGUGAAGAAGGUCUUCGGAUUGUAAAGCACUUUAAGUUGGGAGGAAGGGCAUUAACCUAAUACGUUAGUGUUUUGACGUUACCGACAGAAUAAGCACCGGCUAACUCUGUGCCAGCAGCCGCGGUAAUACAGAGGGUGCAAGCGUUAAUCGGAAUUACUGGGCGUAAAGCGCGCGUAGGUGGUUCGUUAAGUUGGAUGUGAAAGCCCCGGGCUCAACCUGGGAACUGCAUUCAAAACUGUCGAGCUAGAGUAUGGUAGAGGGUGGUGGAAUUUCCUGUGUAGCGGUGAAAUNGNCGUA